rnacentral:rRNA from 1 species
CCUACGGGGGGCUGCAGUGAGGAAUAUUGGUCAAUGGGCGAGAGCCUGAACCAGCCAAGUCGCGUGAGGGAGUACUGCCCUAUGGGUUGUAAACCUCUUUUGUCGGGGAGCAAAAGCCGGACGUGUCCGGCUGUGAGAGUACCCGAAGAAAAAGCAUCGGCUAACUCCGUGCCAGCAGCCGCGGUAAUACGGAGGAUGCGAGCGUUAUCCGGAUUUAUUGGGUUUAAAGGGUGCGCAGGCGAAUUUUUAAGUCAGCGGUAAAAUCGUGGGGCUCAACCCCAUCCAGCCGUUGAAACUGGGGAUCUAGAGUGUGCGAGAGGUAUGCGGAAUGCGUGGUGUAGCGGUGAAAUGCAUAGAUAUCACGCAGAACCCCGAUUGCGAAGGCAGCAUACCGGUGCACAACUGACGCUCAGGCACGAAAGCGUGGGUAUCGAACAGGAUUAGAUACCCCAGUAGUC